rnacentral:tRNA from 1 species
GACCCUUUCAUCUAGUGGCCAAGGAUGCUGCGUUUUCAUCGCAGAAACAGAGGUUCAAAUCCUCUAGGGGUCGCCA